rnacentral:rRNA from 1 species
UGUACACACCGCCCGUCACACCAUGGGAGUGGGGUUUACCAGAAGUAGUUAGCCUAACCGCAAGGAGGGCGAUUACCACGGUAGGCUUCAUGACUGGGGUGAAGUCGUAACAAGGUAGCCGUAUCGGAAGGUGCGGCUGGAUCACCUCCUU